rnacentral:rRNA from 1 species
UACAGAGGGUGCGAGCGUUGUCCGGAAUCACUGGGCGUAAAGGGCGCGUAGGUGGUGACCUAAGCGUGCGGUGAAAGCCCGAGGCUCAACCUCGGGUCGGCCGUGCGAACUGGCUCACUGGAGCAGAAUAGAGGCAGGUGGAAUUCCGGGUGUAGCGGUGGAAUGCGUAGAGAUCCGGAAGAACACCGGUGGCGAAGGCGGCCUGCUGGGUUCUGGCUGACACUGAGGCGCGACAGCGUGGGGAGCAAACAGG